GUCGAACGAAGUAGCAAUACUUAGUGGCAGACGGGUGAGUAACAUGUAGGUAUCUUCCCUUUGGUGAGGAAUAACACGAGGAAACUUGUGCUAAUACCUCAUAAGUCUUUACGGAGAAAGCUUUAUGCGCCAUUGGAUGAGCCUGCACUUGAUUAGUUUGUUGGUGGGGUAAUGGCCUACCAAGACAAUGAUCAAUAGCUGAUUUGAGAGGAUGAUCAGCCACAUUGGGACUGAGACACGGCCCAAACUUCUACGGAAGGCAGCAGUAGGGAAUCUUGCACAAUGGAGGAAACUCUGAUGCAGCGAUGCCGCGUGAGUGAAGAAGGCCCUUGGGUUGUAAAGCUCUUUCGUCGGGGAAGAAAAUGACUGUACCCGAAUAAGAAGGUCCGGCUAACUUCGUGCCAGCAGCCGCGGUAAUACGAAGGGACCUAGCGUAGUUCGGAAUUACUGGGCUUAAAGAGUUCGUAGGUGGUUAAAAAAGUUGGUGGUGAAAUCCCAGAGCUUAACUCUGGAACUGCCAUCAAAACUUUUUAGCUAGAGUAUGAUAGAGGAAAGCAGAAUUUCUAGUGUAGAGGUGAAAUUCGUAGAUAUUAGAAAGAAUACCAAUUGCGAAGGCAGCUUUCUGGAUCAUUACUGACACUGAGGAACGAAAGCAUGGGUAGCGAAGAGGAUUAGAUACCCUCGUAGUCCAUGCCGUAAACGAUGUGUGUUAGACGUUGGAAAUUUAUUUUCAGUGUCGCAGCGAAAGCAAUAAACACACCGCC
rnacentral:rRNA from 1 species